UAUAUACUCCCUCUGUCCGAAAUUACUUGUUGGAGAAAUGGAUGUAUCUAGACGUAUUUUAGUUCCACAUACAUCCAUUUUUAUCUAUUUCGGUGACAAGUAAUUCCGGACGGAGGGAGUACUUA
rfam:Hordeum vulgare subsp. vulgare, WGS project CAJW01000000 data, contig: morex_contig_1561241